UACGAAGGGGGCUAGCGUUGUUCGGAAUUACUGGGCGUAAAGCGCACGUAGGCGGACUAUUAAGUCAGGGGUGAAAUCCCGGGGCUCAACCUCGGAACUGCCUUUGAUACUGGUAGUCUCGAGUCCGGAAGAGGUGAGUGGAAUUCCGAGUGUAGAGGUGAAAUUCGUAGAUAUUCGGAGGAACACCAGUGGCGAAGGCGGCUCACUGGUCCGGUACUGACGCUGAGGUGCGAAAGCGUGGGGAGCAAACAGG
rnacentral:rRNA from 1 species